CCUACGGGUGGCUGCAGUGAGGAAUAUUGGUCAAUGGGCGCGAGCCUGAACCAGCCAAGUAGCGUGAAGGAUGAAUGCCCUACGGGUUGUAAACUUCUUUUAUAAAGGAAUAAAGUGAGGCACGUGUGCCUUUUUGUAUGUACUUUAUGAAUAAGGAUCGGCUAACUCAGUGCCAGCAGCCGCGGUAAUACGGGGGAUCCGAGCGUUAUCCGGAUUUAUUGGGUUUAAAGGCAGCGUAGAUGGGUUGUUAAGUCAGUUGUGAAAGUUUGCGGCUCAACCGUAAAAUUGCAAUUGAUACUGGCAGUCUUGGUUACAGUUGGGGUAGGCGGAAUUCGUGGUGUAGCGGUUAACUGCUU
rnacentral:rRNA from 1 species